rnacentral:rRNA from 1 species
CGCGUAGGCGGCUAUUUAAGUCUGGAGUGAAAGUCCUGCUUUUAAGGUGGGAAUUGCUUUGGAAACUGGAUGGCUUGAGUGCAGGAGAGGUUAUCGGAAUUCCCGGUGUAGCGGUGAAAUGCGUAGAGAUCGGGAGGAACACCAGUGGCGAAGGCGGGUAACUGGACUGCAACUGACGCUGAGGCGCGAAAGUGUGGGGAGCAAACA